UUGCACUGUUCGUAACCUGUUAACAGUAUCUUUCUGAUAAUGGGUUCCAUUCCAGUGCUACAUGAUACCCCAAGAUAAUAGAAGGCUGGCUGUUUGUCUGCCUGUUCCCUUUAUUUUUGGGGGACAUAA
rfam:Phalacrocorax carbo contig78882, whole genome shotgun sequence.